GGGCGGGCGGGCAGGCAGGCAGGCAGGCUAGCAGCUCCAGGCUGCGAGCUGGGUGUAGCUUCACCUCCCCUCCUUCCCCAGCCCAAUCCUCCUGCAUCCUCCAGCCCUUGGACGCCUGGGUCCCUGGCAGCGCCCGGAGCAGGAGCUGGGCACCGGCCCCUUCCCGGCGGGUGAGACUGAAUCAUGGAGCUUCGUGUGGGGAACAAAUACAGGUUGGGCCGAAAAAUUGGCAGUGGCUCCUUUGGGGACAUCUACUUGGGUGCCAACAUCGCUUCUGGGGAAGAGGUGGCCAUUAAGUUGGAAUGUGUGAAAACAAAGCACCCCCAGCUGCACAUCGAGAGCAAGUUUUACAAGAUGAUGCAGGGAGGAGUGGGGAUCCCCUCCAUCAAAUGGUGUGGCGCAGAGGGAGACUACAAUGUCAUGGUGAUGGAGCUGCUGGGCCCCAGCCUGGAAGACCUUUUCAAUUUCUGCUCCCGCAAGUUCAGCCUCAAGACCGUCCUUCUCUUGGCUGACCAGAUGAUCAGCCGCAUUGAGUACAUCCACUCUAAGAACUUCAUCCACCGGGACGUGAAACCUGACAACUUCCUCAUGGGGCUGGGCAAGAAGGGAAACCUGGUGUACAUCAUCGAUUUUGGCCUGGCCAAGAAAUACCGAGACGCUCGCACCCACCAGCAUAUCCCCUACCGGGAAAACAAAAAUCUGACUGGCACGGCUCGCUAUGCUUCUAUCAACACCCACUUGGGCAUUGAGCAGAGCCGUCGCGAUGACCUGGAGAGUUUGGGUUACGUGCUCAUGUAUUUCAACCUGGGCUCCCUGCCCUGGCAGGGCCUCAAAGCAGCCACCAAGAGGCAGAAGUAUGAACGUAUUAGUGAGAAGAAGAUGUCCACACCCAUCGAGGUCCUUUGCAAAGGAUACCCCUCUGAAUUCUCCACAUACCUCAACUUCUGCCGCUCUCUCCGGUUCGAUGACAAGCCCGAUUACUCAUAUCUAAGGCAGCUCUUCCGGAACCUCUUCCAUCGUCAGGGCUUCUCCUAUGACUAUGUCUUUGACUGGAACAUGCUCAAAUUCGGUGCGGCCCGGAACCCCGAGGAUAUGGACCGAGAGCGGCGGGAGCACGAGAGAGAGGAGAGGAUGGGGCAGUUGCGAGGAUCUGCUACGCGGGCCCUCCCCCCAGGACCCCCUGCUGGUGCAGCUGCCAACCGCCUGCGCAACGUGGCCGAGCCCGUGGCUUCCAACCCAGCCUCCCGCAUCCAGCAAGCUGGCAAUACUUCUCCCAGAGCGAUCUCACGGGUAGACAGGGAGAGGAAGGUGAGUAUGAGGUUACACCGAGGAGCCCCGGCCAACGUCUCCUCCUCCGAUCUCACAGGACGCCAAGAGGUAUCUCGGAUUUCUGCAUCACAGGUGAGUGGAUGUCCAUGCUUCAUGCAUGCAUCCAUCCAUCUAUCCAUCCAUCCAUCCAUCCAUUAUUCAUGUAUUCAUUCAUGCGUUCAUUCAUUCAUCCAUUCAUGUGUUCAACAAGAAUUUGUUGAAGGACUUAAGGAGUCUUUAUUAAGUGCCAAGCACGGUGUGAGAUGCUGAUGGAGAAAGACAGAAAGGAAGUCCUCCUGGCCUUGGAGGAAUUUACAUCCCGCUUGGGUAGAAUGCAAAACACUGGAAAACAAAAGUAAUGUAAAAGACAAGAGAAUAGAUGAAAGAUGGAUAUCAAGUAAUUCCAAGCAUGGAGAGCAUUAGCAACUGGGGACACCAGGAAAGGCUUGACAUGAGCUGAACAUCUGAAGGAAGCGAGAGCUUCUCAGAAGCACAGAGUGCAGGAGGGAGUGGAAUGUGUAAUAAGUCUGGAAAGAUAAUCUGGGGACAUGGUAAAGCCAACCAGGGGAGUCUGUAUUUUAUCCUACAGUAAAUAGGGAGCCCCUGGAGCUUCUUGAGAAAGGACGUCGCAUGCUCAGGCCUGUGCUUGGGAGGACAAAUUUGGCACUUGUGCAAAGGUUGGAUUGGAAGGAGGCUGGAGAUAGUGAGACCAAUAAGGAAGUGGGGCUCCUGGCCACCGGUGAGGAGAGCCUGAACUCAGGUGGCAGCUGAGUGAAGGUAGAGAAGGGACUGGAGGCAAGAGACUUCACAGAUGAUCAGAUAGGAGUGGUGAGGGAGAGCCAGGAAUCAAAGAUUACUCCGAGCUUAUGUCCGUGCAUGGCUUGAAGGAUAAUGGUGUCUUCAACCAACCAGCAACAUUUGGAAGAAGGGUGAAUUUAAGGGUCAAGAUAGUUCUGUUUUGGACAUGUUGAGUUUGGGACACUUGUUUGCUGUUUAAUUUAAUUGUAGAGUUUUCAAUGAAUAAAAGUCAUCUUUCUCUCCCUUUGCCUCCCUGCCCCCAACUCCAAUAUUGGGGAAUUAAAAAAAAAACAACAUCCAAGAUUCUUGUAACAAAUUAUUCAUAGUCAAAAAGAUUCCCACAUUGGCAUGCGGACAUCUGAUUUGAAAGGUCCAGCAGGCAAGUUCAACCUGGGGCUGAAGUUGGAGAGAAGCCAGGCUGGAUACCCAGAUCUCAGUCAUCUGUUUAGAGAUGGUGGUUAACCCCAUGGGCACUGGUGAGAUCACCAUGGCAGAGAGCUCUGGGCUAAGAAGUGCUAAGGCAGCCAGGACCUGGGUGGUGACCCACCAAAGGAGGCAGAGAGGGAGUGGUCAGGGAGGUGGCUGGACAGCCUAAAGAAGGAAGCAGCGUGGCAACUUAGAGAGGAAAGAGUGUCUAGGAAUCCACAGUAGUCGUCACUGUCAGGUACUGCAGAGUGGUCCAGAAGGAAGGGGCCAAAAAAAGUCCCUGGGACCUGGGAGGGAGAAGGACUUAGAACAGUAUCUCACCUGGACACAAGGAGGGAGUAGAUUCAUUCAUUUCAGGUCUAGUGUCAGGCGAGGAGAGAAAAGACACUCCUUCCCCACUCCUCCUUCCCCAGCCCAAGGCCAUUUCCAAUGAGCCUGGCAGUUGCUGGGGCAGCCUGGACAGAGCGGUGGGCUGGGUGUCCAGACAGCUGGACUCUGUCCUUUGCCCUCAACUCACUUUAGGAUCCUGAACUAAAAAUUGAUGUAUUCCUUUAAUUCACCAACUAUGUGCACUGAAGUAAUAAGAGCUGACAUUCAUAAAGCACAUCGAUUCAUUGAGUCCUCGUGUCAGCCCUUCAAGAUGGGCGCUGCAUUUACCCCAGAACUGAGGCUCAGAUGGGGAGUUGGGCCUUGCCCAUGCUCACGAAGCAAAGAGAUGCCAGAAGCAUGGUCAUUUCUAACUCUAAAGACCAGGCUACUAUGCCCCCAGCCCUAGGUAAGCUCCUGAGGGGAAGAUCUAAGAGUAGCAGUGAACUUGGUCCCUGCCCUCAUGGAACUUGUGGUCUAGAGAAGCAGUAUUCUUGCUGUCAGGUCCUUUCAAGUCAUAUCAGACUCUCCACAACCCCAUUUGGGGUUUUCUUGGCAAAGAUACCAGAGUGGUUUGCCAUUUCCUUCUCCAGCUCAUUUGACAGAUGGGGAAACUGAGUGAUUUGCCUAGGGUCACACAGCUAGGAAGUGUCUUGAAGUCGCAUUUGAACUCAUGAAGAUGAGUCUUCCUGUUUCCAAGCCCAGUACUCUAUCCACUGUGCCACCUAGCUGCCCAGAGAAGCAGUGUUACCACGAUAGAUAGAGCACCAGGUAUGGAGUCAGGGGAGACCCUGGUUCAAAUCCUGCCUCAGAGAUUCCAACAUGUGUGACAUUUGACAGGUAGGAUUUGAAGUGGGCCUCAGUUUCCUCAUUUUGUAAAUUGACUCCGUCUCCUCUCUGGGCCUGUAAUAUUGUAAAAUGAGGAGUUUGGAUUUAAUAGUCUCCAAGACACCUUUCAGCUCUGUCUACAAUCACAUAUAAUCUGGAUACCCCUUGUUCUCCUCCAGACAAGCGUGCCAUUUGACCACCUCGGGAAGUGAGGGGAAGAUGCCACCGGACCAGUGUUUGCUUAGUGUCUUCACUGUAUUUUUCUUUUAAAAAAAUUUUGAAAAAGACUUAAAAAAAGAACAAAAAGAAAACGAAAAAAAAUCCCACAAAACAGACAACAGAUUUUUGUUGCUCUCUGGGAUUUUUCUUUCUUUCUUUUUUCUUUUCUUUUCUUUUUUCUUCUUUUUUUGCCAAUGGAGAAGAGACACGAAGCUCCCACUGCACCGACUUCUGGCCCUGGUAUCUGCCUUCCUCCCCAGUCUGCCUUCUGCCCUCUAGACCCCAAGGGACCCUUUUGGGAACGCCACCACUCACCCCUCCUGGAGCCACACCAAGCCCUUCCCCAUGCCUGCCACCCCUGAACAAUGGGGCGUGGGGGGCUCUCCCUCUCCUCCUCCUAGCCCAGGCUGGGGAUCUCCAGGGGUCAGGGCCCCUCUGCCCUCCCACCCCACACUCCUGUUUUCUGUGUCAAUGUUGAUCUGAGCAUCCUCUGAGUCUGAGGAGCCAACCUCUGGAUGAAGAGGAAAGGGAAGGCUUGCACAUGGCAGAAGCUGUCUGGAUUUCAUUUUGUUUUGUGAAAGUAAACUUGUGACUCCCUGAGGCCCUGACUCUGUCCCUGGGGGCUUGGGUUUCUUGGUUAGACAGGCCUUGAAGCCUCAGAAGACGCCGGCUUUCCAGGGUCACUCGUGGGGUCACUGGGCUCAAGCCGUUGGAUGCUUCCUGACAUCCUUGCCCCAUUCUCUCUCUCCUUAGCACUGAUACAGGGGGUGUCCUGGGCCGAGCUGGGGGCCUGGGCCACUCCCUCUCCCCCUACUCCCUGGAGCCUGGCAGGGAAGGGAAGGCAGCUGUGAGCCCAGAGCCUCAAGAGGAUUUCUAGAAAGCUGGGUAGGGGGGUGGGGGUGGGGGGCAGUGAUGGAUGGUGUGGCUGUGGGUAUGUCCGAGAGUGUGCCUGUGCGUGUCUAUUGGGUUUGUGUAUUCUCCAGGAUGAGCGUUAAGGGCCUGGGAGGGUCCCUGCAGGAUGCUGUGGGACAACAGGCCCCUUCUCCCCCCAACCCCUUCACACUUCAGUUUGGUUAUCCCGAUUUUGAUGCCCAGAAGGCCCCUCUCCUGGGCUGCCCAGGAAAGGAGGAGAAGAACCCCGAGCCCUCCUUGGAUCCAAUCCUACAGCUGAGGGGAACAUUCCCCACCCUCACCAUCCUUGUUGGGGAAGAGAAAUCCUUGGGAAUGAUUAUCAGACAAAUGGGAAGAAAUUGGUUUCCAGUGAAUCGUUGGGAGCCACACCCCCUCCGCUGCCCUGUUUCCCCAGAUGUGGGCACCUAUGGGAUCCAUGAGAGGAUGAAAUGCCCAGGGGGAAUUGGAUUUUUUUAGUGCUUUCUAUUUAACACAAGUUUUUGUUUUUGUUUGGUUUUUGCUUUUGUUUUGGGCUAUUUUUCCUAAUUUAUUUACCCCUCUUUCUCUGUCUUUUUUUUCUUUUUUUUUAACUAAAGAGUAAAUCUUUUUAUUACUUUGUAAUUUAAAAAAAAUGGAAAAAAAAUACUGAAGAACUUUGGGGGGAAUUUUGUACUUUUUUCCUGUGUAAAUAUUGGACUUUUUGGAGCUUUAUUGUGGUCGUUAAUUUGGAGUAAUAAAGUAGAAAAUAAUCAAGUGA